rnacentral:misc_RNA from 1 species
AAACGGCGAAACGUCAUGUGACCUGCAUGCUUUGCGAAUCAUCAAAUCUUUGAACGCAUCUUGCACCUGCGGCCCUGCGGCCCAGGUAUGCUUGUUUGAGUAUCGUGAACACCAUCACGCCCAUGGGGACGCGGGCGUGGAUCUGGGGGUGAUGGGUGGACAGGUCGAUCGCAUGGGGACGCGAGCCCACCACCAUCUCCCCUCAAAGGCAGCACGCAGCCGAUGAGGUAACACCGUCAGAGGCGGACGUGAACGACGCGGAUAUAGUGUGGUGAGACACGCUUGAUGCGCCAGCAAUCUUCGGAUUCAAUUCCAUCUCAAACAAGUAAGAGGACCCGCUGAACUUAA